UGGGUUGUAGCUAAGUGGUAGAGCAUUUGCCUAGCAUGCAUGAGGCACUGGGUUCGAUUCUCAGCACCACAU
rnacentral:tRNA from 1 species